UAAUACAGGGGCCCCAAGCGUUAAUCGGAAUUACUGGGCUUAAAGGGUGCGUAGGCGGUCCCGUAAGUGCUCUGUGAAAGCCCUCGGCUCAACCGAGGAACAGCAGGGCAUACUGCGGGACUUGAGGAAGGUAGAGGCCGUUGGAACGCUCGGUGGAGCGGUGGAAUGCGUAGAGAUCGAGCGGAACGCCAAAAGUGAAGACAGACGGCUGGGCCUUUCCUGACGCUGAGGCACGAAAGCGUGGGGAGCAAACCGGAUUAGAUACCCGGGUAGUCCACGCCCUAAACGAUGUAUGCUAGAUCGGCCAGGCUCUGACGUCUGGCUGGUCGGAGAGAAAUUGUUAAGCAUACCGCCUGGGGAGUACGGUCGCAAGGCUA
rnacentral:rRNA from 1 species